rnacentral:rRNA from 1 species
GGGGAAUAUUGGACAAUGGGGGAAACCCUGAUCCAGCCAUGCCGCGUGAGUGAUGAAGGCCUUAGGGUUGUAAAACUCUUUUGUCCGGGAAGAUAAUGACUGUACCGGAAGAAUAAGCCCCGGCUAACUUCGUGCCAGCAGCCGCGGUAAUACGAAGGGGGCUAGCGUUGUUCGGAAUCACUGGGCGUAAAGCGCACGUAGGCGGAUUGUUAAGUCGGAGGUGAAAUCCCAGGGCUCAACCUUGGAACUGCCUUCGAUACUGGCAAUCUCGAGUGUGGAAGAGGUUGGUGGAACUGCGAGUGUAGAGGUGAAAUUCGUAGAUAUUCGCAAGAACACCAGUAGCGAAGGCGGCCAACUGGUCCAAUACUGACGCUGAGGUGCGAAAGCGUGGGGAGCAAAC